rnacentral:rRNA from 1 species
GAUUUCUGGUUUCUUUUCCACCGGUCCGCUUUGCAGUGGAUACUCUUGUAGUGUUACACGGAGGUGUGCUGCCGUGUUGCGUAAAAGGCCAUCCUUCGAGAGAGUGGGGUCGCCGACUGUUCAUGUCAGCUUGCAUUCGUGUGUAGCGGUGGAUACGUAGGUCCUCAUUAAAGCUCUUUCGAUCGUUUACUUUGAAAAAAUUAGAGUGUUCAAAGCAGGCUGUUUUCAGCUGUGAAUACAUUAGCAUGGAAUAAUAAGAUAGGACUUUGGUACUAUUUUGUUGGGUUCACGAUUCAGUUCGGUUCUAGUGCCCGAAGUAAUGAUUGAUAGGGAUAGUUGGGGGUGCUAGUAUUUAAUGGCCAGAGGUGAAAUUCUUGGAUUCAUUAAAGACUAACUAAUGCGAAAGCAUU